rnacentral:rRNA from 1 species
GUCUAUGGCCAUACCACCCUGAACGUGCCCGAUCUCAUCUGAUCUCAGAAGCUAAGCAGGGUCGGGCCUGGAUAGUACUUGGAUGGAAGAAUUCAUAUUAUGUCUUUGAUG